rnacentral:tRNA from 1 species
GGCAUGAUCGACGACGGCACCUCCAGCGGACUCUAUAUCCGCGGUGAGCCGACCGAUCGCGCCUGCGCGACGUUCGGCAUUCUCGUGAUACCA